AUUCCAGCUCCAAUAGCGUAUAUUAAAGUUGUUGCAGUUAAAACGCUCGUAGUCGGAUUUCGGGGCGGGCCGACCGGUCUGCCGAUGGGUAUGCACUGGCCGGCGCGUCCUUCCACCCGGAGACCGCGCCUACUCUUAACUGAGCGGGCGCGGGAGACGGGUCUUUUACUUUGAAAAAAUCAGAGUGUUUCAAGCAGGCAGUCGCUCUUGCAUGGAUUAGCAUGGGAUAAUGAAAUAGGACUCUGGUGCUAUUUUGUUGGUUUCGAACACCGGAGUAAUGAUUAACAGGGACAGUCGGUGGCAUUCGUAUUUCAUUGUCAGAGGUGAAAUUCUUGGAUUUUGGAAAGAUGAACUACUGCGAAGGCAUUUACCAAGGAUGUUUUCAUCA
rnacentral:rRNA from 1 species